rnacentral:rRNA from 1 species
UCCUACGGGAGGCAGCAGUGAGGAAUAUUGGUCAAUGGGCGGAAGCCUGAACCAGCCAAGUCGCGUGAGGGAAUAAGGCCCUACGGGUCGUAAACCUCUUUUGCCGGGGAGCAAGGGCGGGGACGUGUCCCGGCCCGGAGAGUACCCGGAGAAAAAGCAUCGGCUAACUCCGUGCCAGCAGCCGCGGUAAUACGGAGGAUGCGAGCGUUAUCCGGAUUUAUUGGGUUUAAAGGGUGCGUAGGCGGGCUUUUAAGUCAGCGGUAAAAAUUCGGGGCUCAACCCCUUCCGGCCGCUGAAACUGGUGG